rnacentral:tRNA from 1 species
GGGGCUGUAGCUCAUUGGUAGAGCGCCCGCCUCAUACGUGUGAGGCGCUGGGUUCAAUCCUCAGCACCA